CACCGGCCAGAUGCCCAAAAAGAUGUCCUCUGCAUGUGAGGAGUCUGGGAGCUAAGCAAACAAGCACGGACCCUGCUCCCCUCAGAAGAGAGCUGCUGUCCAGAGGAGCUCCCAUCAGGGAAGACAGUGAGCUGCACAAUUUACUAAACCCACAGCUAUUCCCCCCGUGACCUUGGGGUGCCAGGUGCUGUCUGUGCACCAUGGUGGUGACUCGGUUUGCUCAGACACAGACACAGAACAGCUGGGAUAACCAACCAGGACAAAAGAGGAGACAGACUGCCAGCUUCCUAGGAUACCAAGGUGAGAAAGGGCAGUAACAGAAGGGUGUCAGUUACAAGUCAGUAUCACAAGGAGCCAGCCAGGGGGCUGCCUGUGACCAGUGUCAGAGGACCAGCCUAGGUUCUUAGUGCCACUUACAGGAGAGGAAAGGGGGUGAGUGUGCCUGAGGAGAACUGGGAAAGGCUUUACUGAGAGUGGAAAAUGUACCCUGGGAAGUCAGCCACCCUCCCCUGAGCCCUGGCAGAGGGAGCACUGCGAUCUGGAAGUGGAGGAGAAAGUGCGGACCUCAGUGGAAAACUAUGCAUUGUCUACAGGACACCCUUCCUCUUUAUCAGAUUCUGAUCCUAUGGGAGCUGUUCUGCAGCUCUUUGUAAGUUGCAGCUAACUACAGACAUGCUUAUUCAGCCUUGCCGCCCUCCUCCUGCCCACCUCAUGGAAAAAACAGUUUCUUUCCUUUAUUCAAAUUUUGUACUGUUCUGAAUAUUCUCCUGAACCAGUUAUAACAUUUGCCUGGUUCCCUCCUAGGGACAAAAUAGACUAUCUGUAUGACAGUCAUGAGCUUAAUUUUUCCUGAAAAUUAGCCUUUAUUUUUCUCCCUUCGCUGGGAGAAAGCAACCUCCAAAGCAGCCCCAAGCUGGCUGACAUCCCUGCUGGGAGACACUCGCGCCUGGGAUCCGGGAAGGACUGUGGUUGCCCAGCACACAGAGGCAGGCUUCACGCUUCAGUAGCGACCACGGCCACCAUUCAGAGAGCCCCUGCGGCAGCAUAUGGGCCUCUGAGUGCCCUGCUCCAUGCUCAGCAAUCUCACUGGAUCCUACAAAGACCCUGUGUGGUAUCUUUUCUUAUUUCCCUUUACAAAUACAGGAGCUGAGACUCAGAAAGACAAAGCAACUUGCAAGUCACUCACAUAGGAAGGGCUGAGGGAAAAAUCUGAACAAAGUCUGUCUCUUAAUUCCCAGGCAAUCUUACCUUGGCUUUUUUCUUUUUCUUUUUAAAUUGACAUAGAGUUGAUUUACAAUAUUAUAUAAGUUCCAGUGUACAACAUAGUGAUUCACAAUUUUCUAAGGUUAUACUCCAUUUAAAGUUACAAAAUAUUGGCUAUAUUUCCUGUGCUGUAUAAUAUAUCUUUGUAGCUUUUUAAUUUUGUACAUAGCAGUUUCUACCUCUUACUCCCCUGUCCUUGUCUUGCACCUCCCCUCAUCCCUCUCCCCACUGGUAACCACUAAUUUGUUCUCUAUAUCUGUGAGUCUGCUUCUUUUUGCUAUAUUCACUAGCUUGUUUUAUUUUUCAGAUUCCACGUGUAAGUGAUAUCAUACAGUAUUUGUCUUUCUCUCUCUGAUUUACUUCACUAAGCACAAUACCCUCCAAUUCCAUCCAUGUUGUUGUAAAUGGCAAGAUUUCAUUUUUAUGGGCCCUGUCAACCACCAUUCCACUUCCUGUCUCUGUGGGUUUGACCACUCCAGGUACUUCGUAUGAGCAACCAGAAGCAUAAGCAACGCGUGCGUGAUCACAUAGCGAAUGAGAGGCAGCCCUGGCAGGCUGACUGCGGAGUCCUGCACUGCUCACUACAUUCCAGUCAGCCCUGUCCACGUUUGUGGAAGGAAAUUUCUCUGACCACGUAUCUGCACAGAAGAAAUUUUACCUGAGAG